CAGGGCCUCACUGUGUAGCUCAAGCUGGCCUUGAACUCACUAUGUAGCCUAGGUGGGCCCUGAACUCAUGGUAAUCUUCCUGCUUCAGCCUCCCAAGUCCUGGGAUUACAGGUGUCCACCACUGCACCCAGAGGAAUAUCUUUUUUGAGGCAAAGACCUUCAUUGUCACAGUGGGCUCCCACAGAUUGAGAUGAAAUUUAGGUGCAAUGAGGCCAAUGACACCAUUAGAUCACAUCAUUUGCAGUAUUUCCAUUGAGGUAUUUACCACAUUACUGAUAAAGCAACUGAGCCUAGGACAAGGAAGAUAAACCAGCUCAAAAUCACAGAGCAGGGUAAGUCCUUGAGCUUCUGCAAACUUGGAAGAGAAAAUUAAUACCAGAACUAUUCAAGAACCAGGGGAUCCCAGAAGGAAAUGUGGGCAUGGACAUACACAGAAGGAAGAUAGUGUGAAGACACAGCAGAAUGCAGACAUCUGCCAGCCUGGGGGAGAGGCCUCAGAAGAAACUGAACUGGCCAACAAACUUGAUUUUGGACUUCCAGCCUCCACACUUGUGAGAAAAUACAUUUCUGUUAUUUAAGCCAUCCAGUCUGUGGUACUUUGUU
rnacentral:lncRNA from 1 species